GGUGAAGAACGUAGCGAAAUGCGAUAAGUAAUGUGAAUUGCAGAAUUCAGUGAAUCAUCGAAUCUUUGAACGCACAUUGCGCCCGCCAGUAUUCUGGCGGGCAUGCCUGUUCGAGCGUCAUUUCAACCCUCAAGCCCCAGCGGCCUGGUGUUGGGGACCGGCGACCUCGCCCGAGCCCGCCCUCCGGGGCGCGUGCCCGGUGCGUCCGCCGCCCCCGAAAUGAAUUGGCGGCCUCGUCGCGGCCUCCUCUGCGUAGUAGCACAACCUCGCAAGCGGGAGCGCGACGCGGCCACUGCCGUAAAACGCCCAACUUUUUUAGAGUUGACCUCGGAUCAGGUAGGAAUACCCGCUGAACUUAAGCAUAUCAAUAAGCGGAGGA
rnacentral:misc_RNA from 1 species